rnacentral:rRNA from 1 species
GCGUGAGUGAUGAAGGCCUUAGGGUUGUAAAGCUCUUUUACCCGAGAUGAUAAUGACAGUAUCGGGAGAAUAAGCCCCGGCUAACUCCGUGCCAGCAGCCGCGGUAAUACGGAGGGGGCUAGCGUUGUUCGGAAAUACUGGGCGUAAAGCGCACGUAGGCGGCGCAGUAAGUCAGAGGUGAAAUCCCAGGGCUCAACCUUGGAACUGCCUUUGAAACUGCUGUGCUAGAAUCUUGGAGAGGUCAGUGGAAUUCCGAGUGUAGAGGUGAAAUUCGU